CUCUCUGUCUCCACCCCAUCACAAACCCCUCUCUGUCUCCCCCCUCCCCCCUUCCAGAUCGCCGCUGCCGCCACCUCCCCAUCAGCUCCACCAGCGAGCCCUUCCUCACCGCAUCCAUGGCCUCUCCAUGCCCUUCCUCACCGCAUCGCCACCCAGACCCCCUCCCUUCCCCACUGCAUCGCCACCCUAAGCCACCUCCUUCACUAACCCUAUACCCGUACCUCAACCUGCACCGCAACCCAUCGGACCCCCCUUCUCCGCGGCGGUGUGCCUCCUUUCCUGAGUUCGCCAAGGACAGUGUCUGCCUCGUCAAGCGCAGCCACAAGCCUAACCGCAAGGAGUUCACCAAGGUGGCGACGUAGAUGGCAAUCGGGUUCGUCGUCAUGGGAUUCGACGGCUUCUUUGUCAAACUCAUCUUCAUCCCCAUCAACAACAUCAUCGUCGGGCACAGCUUCUCUGAUCUCGUCCGCGUCUCUGAUCUCAUCCACGACCGCGACCGCGACGGAAGUCUCCUCUGCUCGCCGGUGUAUGGAAGCACGAGAAGAGUGAUGGCCAUGAAGACUAUGGUCUCCUUGUUAGCGAGCCAGCCAGGAAAUAUGCCAUAGUCAAAGAGCUUGAUAGCCCUGUUACUUUGAAGGAUGGGACAGUUGUCCUGCGGUUCGAAGUGAGGCUUCAGAAUGGCCUCGAGUGUGGAGGUGGGGGGAGUCUAAAACUGCUUGUCGUUCCUGUGAUGAUGAAGAUGGAGUAGGAGGAUGAGCAGCAACAAUAAAUGAGCCUGUUGGUGAAGAAGCACAUGAUGACCAGAACUCGUUCAAGUGAUCUUUAGUCCUUCCAAAACAAGGAGCUCUAGGCCUAAUUUGUUUGGAGUGUGAAGCCAUGAAGCCAAGUGCGAAUCAGUGAAGUCCUACUUAGCACUGUAAAUUGUAAUAUUGUAACAGAUUGUAAAAGACUAAUGUAGUGUUAUUUGAUGAAUUAUAUUUUUCCCGUCCUAUUUCAAAAUAGUGAGUAUGUAUGUUAAAAAUAUGUGAAAUGGAAACUUGACCAGCGGGACCAAUUUAUGUCCCACUUAUGAA